UGAAAUUAGGACAACUACGACAC
rnacentral:miRNA from 1 species